rnacentral:misc_RNA from 1 species
AGGAGCUCGUUCGCGAGGGAUCCGGCGUUCCAGAGCCCACGAANNNNUCGGUUUAUCACGAGAAGGAGCCUUUCCCACGGGGAGAGCCCUUUCCAUCCUGGACCUCAG